rnacentral:rRNA from 1 species
GACGAACGCUGGCGGCGCGCUUAACACAUGCAAGUCGAACGGAAAGGCCCUGCUUUGGUGGGGUGCUCGAGUGGCGAACGGGUGAGUAACACGUGAGUAACCUGCCCUUGACUUUGGGAUAACUUCAGGAAACUGGGGCUAAUACCGGAUAGGAGCUCCUGCUGCAUGGUGGGGGGUGGAAAGUUUCGGCGGGUGGGGAUGGACUCGCGGCUUAUCAGCUUGUUGGUGGGGUAGUGGCUUACCAAGGCUUUGAUGGGUAGCCGGCCUGAGAGGGUGACCGGCCACAUUGGGACUGAGAUACGGCCCAGACUCCUACGGGAGGCAGCAGUGGGGAAUAUUGCACAAUGGGCGGAAGCCUGAUGCAGCGACGCCGCGUGCGGGAUGACGGCCUUCGGGUUGUAAACCGCUUUCGCCUGGGACGAAGCGUGAGUGACGGUAAUGGGUAAAGAAGCACCGGCUAACUACGUG